UGCAUUAUACAAUCAGCAUUCCAAUACCAAAACCGACCCCACCCCAUGUGCUUUCUUCUUCUUCCAUACAAAUCAAACUACUAAUUCAAAAACCCACCAGCAAUAUCAAUACAAACAGCAGUACCUAACCCCACCCCAUGUGUUUUUUCUUCUUCCUUGCAAAUCCAGAAAAUCCCAACAAACCAGUAAAGGUCAACACCUGCAGCAGCCGCAUCACAUCUCCUUUUCCCAUUUUUCAGGGAUUUCCAAAUCUCUUCCACUGAUUUCCUUGGAAAAGAGGGAAGAAAUUCAAAAGAUUUUGCAUUUUUGCUGAACUUUUCCCCCCCUAAAUCGACCCCAAAUUUCCUCUAUAUAAACCUCCAUUUUUAUUUAGUGUUGGGGUGGGGAAAAGAGAGGAGGAUUAAGGAAAGUGGGAGACAAGAGAUUUUACAUUCUAAAAAAUAGAAGUUAAUUUUUAAAUUGAGAGGACGAAAACCCGAUCGCUAUUUUUUUCUGUAUUGAUUCUCUUCUUGCUCGAGUUAAGGUCACAGUGGUGUAAAAGCUUUAGGGUCAAGCUUGUCGUCUCAGUUUGCUGCUCCGGAAAAGACCCAAAAAUUCUCCGAGUCUACCUCAUCAACUGGAUCGUGAAGUGAGAGGAAAGCAAGUAUACAAGUCUUGAAACCCUGAAAAUUUGGUUGUAUACAUCCGAUAUACACUGACAUACAACAAGUGUAUACAAAAUGGAAAUGAGGCCAAAACCCAAAUACAACUGCAGGAAGGGCCCAAAUUAAAUUUCUCCUUUGCUCUUAACCUAUUUAAUUGUGAUUAUUUAUUGUUAGUUUUUCUUUUA